UUAAUAAGAGAAUCAUGGAAUCAUAGCGUUGGUUGUGUUGGAAGGAAUCUUAAAGGUCAUGCAGUUCCACCCUGCCUGCCAUGGGCAGGGAUGGCAUUCACUAGUUCAGCUUGCUCAAAGCCUCAUCCAGCCUGGCCUUGAACACUUCCAGGGAUGAGACAUCCACAGCUUCUCUGGGCAACCUGUGCCAGUGCCUUACCACCCUCUUGGAGUGGUGGUGCUCCAGCAUUCUGAGCACCUUUGAGGCUUCGUCUGGGCUUGCUGGUGACAGCUUCACAUCCUUCCUGUGAGGAGGACCCAGGGCUGGAUGCUGCACUGCAGGAUAGAUGUAUGAGAGACAUGGCAGAAAUCAUUCUUGGAAAGAGCCUAUCUACAUGUAUCUAAGGGGUGCCAGUGAGCUGUGAGAUGUCUAGAACUGGGAAGAGGAACCCAGACCUUUGUAAGAGGUCUCUGGUGAGAAAAAAGCAAUUGUUAUUAUUUUGCAUAAUAACAAUUAAAAAUUAUCUCAAUUGCAAACUGUCAUAUAGAUUUUGUAAUGUUGUUUGGAACAUAUAAGCAUGUUUUAUAUCAAGGUCUCAUAAUACUUUUUUAGCAAAUGGUAAAAUCUCAGAGAUAAUCCUACUUCACACAUUCUUUAUAUAUUUGUUGUUAAAUUCAAGUAUCCACUGUAGUCAUUGAAAAGAGUUUCUUCCCCUUUGGUGGAAACAAGAUCAAAUUCUGUGGACUGAGAUGGACAAAGGGAAAGCAAAAGCUGAGAUACAUGGGAAAAAGUGUGCUUUUAGAUAUUUGUAAACUAUUUAUUUGCUUAGUUUAGAACAUACUCAUGCUGGGAAAAAAAGAUUGUUUCUGACUUUUUAUUAGUUUUGUGAUAAUUACAAUAAUUACUUUAAAAGUCAAAACCCAGGAAAUUCUAAAUGAGACAGUAUAAUUAUAAUAUAUAACCAUAAUAAUGCUUCCUUCCAUUCCUCACUUGGGUAUUGUGAGGCUUAAUUAGUUAAUGUUUGUACAGCAGUAAAAUGCAAAACACCGUAAAAGUAUUAAGCAUUUUUCCUGUUUCAGUUCUUCAGUAUAAACAAUUAUCUUUCAUAAGGUUUUUUAAGGGGAUAAUUUAAAAAGAUCUAUGUAAACCAAACUGUAUUUUAUAUCCGUCUUGCUGGGAGAUGGAGUGGCAAAUCAGUGUUUAAUUGCAUCAGUAUUUCACAUGAGCCUGCUGACACUGUGACAAUGGAUUUGGCCUAGAAAUAUUUGUUGAUUAUCAUAUUUCUGGGCCAUGCAACAAAAUUAAAGUGUUCUCAUGGGAGCCAGAGACACAGCUGAUGAAAAUAAAUAGAAAAUGAGUGUCACAAGCUGACAAACCAUCAUACUUAGAAGGGGGAAAAAAUCAUAGAUAAAUAGCAUUCUGUGGAAAUAAAUAAAAACCUUUGUCAAAUAUUUAGAGUAGGAAAAUCUGUUAUUUCAUCCUUUUCCUGUACAGAGUUCAGUGAAGAAAAACAGUCUUGUGCCAUAUAUAAAUAUGCAAUGUAUAAACAACAAAUGGAGCUAGAACUCAGGAAAUGUGGUGCUGAAGAGCAAAAUAUGAGGUUUCAAAUUAUCUUUAGGUCUACGAAGUCCUGAACAAGAUCUGUGUAUCAAAAUAACUGUUUUACACCCUGUAAGAAUCAGUCUGGGUUGGAGGUGGAAUAGACAUAAAUUAAUUUUCAGGAGAUUACUUGCACCUCUGGGAAUGCAGAGUCUGUCAUUUAAAACCCAGGGUGUUCUCCAGUAGAUCAUUGGUUAUUUAGUCACCCACACUGAGCUCUGCCAUUGAGCUUCAGCACAGAAUCAAGGGCUGGGAUUAUUUAUGUCAUCUGAAGGCUGGUUUGUUUUUUAGGUUGCACUAGAGUCAAUGGAAAGAUAGAGGUAGUUCCAUGGGAUUAUUCAUUUUUGUCUGCCUUAUGCAGAACCACCUUUGUUUCUUUAAUACCUGCUGGACCAAAGGAGAGUUCUCAACAGAAUUAAUCUGACCAUAAACGUUUAUUUUUGAAAUAAAUUAAUGAUGCUAUGGAAA